rnacentral:rRNA from 1 species
GUGGCGAGUGGCGAACGGGUGAGUAAUAUAUCGGACGUGCCCAGUCGUGGGGGAUAACGCAGCGAAAGCUGUGCUAAUACCGCAUACGAUCUAUGGAUGAAAGCGGGGGAUCGCAAGACCUCGCGCGAUUGGAGCGGCCGAUAUCAGAUUAGCUAGUUGGUGGGGUAAAGGCCCACCAAGGCGACGAUCUGUAGCUGGUCUGAGAGGACGACCAGCCACACUGGAACUGAGACACGGUCCAGACUCCUACGGGAGGCAGCAGUGGGGAAUUUUGGACAAUGGGCGCAAGCCUGAUCCAGCAAUGCCGCGUGCAGGACGAAGGCCUUCGGGUUGUAAACUGCUUUUGUACGGAGCGAAACGGCUUUCUCUAAUACAGGGGGCUAAUGACGGUACCGUAAGAAUAAGCACCGGCUAACUACGUGCCAGCAGCCGCGGUAAUACGUAGGGUGCGAGCGUUAAUCGGAAUUACUGGGCGUAAAGCGUGCGCAGGCGGUUUUGUAAGACAGAUGUGAAAUCCCCGGGCUCAACUGGGACCUGCAUUUGUGACUGAAAAGCUGGGAGUGCGGGCAAGGGGGGAUUGGAAUUCCGGUUGUACAGUGA